UUUUUCAUAGAACAGAUUUGGAGAAAGAAACAGAAAUCCAGUUAGUUUUAUAUAUUUCAUUAGGAAUCAGUAAAUGAUAAGUAAGUCAUAACAUUAAGAGCUAGCAGAACUAACCCCACCAGCCAUAUAUAGGAACAGCAGGUCCUGAAUAGCACAUAUUCAGACGUCAUCUUCUACUACUGACUUCCUUUAAACAAGGCUUAAGCUAUAUGAAUAUUGAUUGUAUUCAGUGAAUAAAGUAUAUUGUAACUGGCUUGUUACGAGUACAAGUAAUUAGAAAUACCCCGCGUGACAGGAGG